rnacentral:lncRNA from 1 species
UGGCACAGGAGGGCUGCACAUACCAGUUCCUGUCCCGAAUCCGGGUCAGGCCCAGUUUCUCCUGGAUCUCGUGGGGUUUCAUGGCAUCGGGCAGGUCCUGCUUGUUGGCGAAGAUGAGGAUUAUGGCGUCCCUCAUCUCCCGGUCAUUGAUAAUGCGGUGCAGCUCCUGGCGAGCCUCAUCGAUGCGGUCGCGGUCGGCGCAGUCCACUACGAAGAUGAGACCUUGGGUCCCAGUGUAGUAAUGCCGCCAGAGCGGCCGGAUCUUGUCCUGGCCGCCCACAUCCCAUACGUUGAACUUGACAUUUUUGUAAGUCACCGUCUCCACGUUGAAACCCACAGUGGGAAUGGUGGUCACCGACUGGCCCAGCUUCAACUUGUACAGGAUUGUUGUCUUGCCGGCCGCGUCCAGGCCCAACAUGAGGAUCCGCAUUUCCUUGUUCCCGAAGAUUUUGGAUAGCACCUUCCCCAUCGCGUCGGAGGAGCCGGGGCCGGGGGCAUUCAGGUGUCCCGGGUCCCCUCAGCCAACAACGCCGCCGCCGCCGCGAAACCGAAACGAAGCCUCUCGGCCGCGAGAGCGCCUUUGCGGCCUGCGUGGGAGUUGCCUCCUAAGGGCAGAGGCCCAGGCCCCCCGCUCACUCGGGCAUCACCGACCGCACAACUUGAUUUCUCCAGUCGCCGCCGCCACCCGGGCCCUGAGACUGCGCUGGGAGCCGCCGCCCUGCUGAGGCGCGGCCCGGCCCGGAACUGCCCUUCCCCCCGCAGGCGCCGCGCGAGCGCCGCCGCGGUUCCCGCUCCUCCGCCUUCCUCUCACCGCGAGGGAGACUGCAGCCCUCCGGCCCGCCCGCCGGCCUGCGAGCACUGGGCUCCCCACCGACCCAGGACACCCGAGAGGCAGCGCGGCUCCGGGGCCCCGUCAGGUCAUGGAUCCUCGCGGGAACUCGGUGCGCUGCCUGCAGAGAAACAGAGAGGGAGGGGAGUUACUGCCAGAGCUCCACAAAGGAGCGAAGACCGAGGUGGCCCGCCUUUCCAGCUCGGCCCAAGGGGUUACCUCCAGCCGCCGCCCCGAGCGCGGGCUCCCUCCGGCCUCCAACUCCUCCUCCCAGUUCUGCCGCCGCCGCUGCCGGAAAAGGCGCCGAGGAAACCGCCUCACUUCCCCUCCCGACCACGCAGGCGCAGCAGAGGCCGACCGUUCGGACAAGAGCGACCUCUGUAAGGAGAGCGGCCCGCGCGCCUAGCGUCAUGGGCGCCACGCGCCGGAGGGGCGGGGCUACGGCGCCUCGGAGGGCUCGCAGAUGCGGCCGGCCCAGAGCCCUCGAACCUCGGACUCUGACUCGCGCCUACCCGUGGCUCUUCUAGCGUCUCCUUCCCUGCUUUUCUCUUUUGCGCUCUGCCCUCCCCUGCCCACCCGAACCAAGGGAGCAGAUCUACUGGGGGGCCCUACAGGGUGGGGCCCACGGGCAGCCCGCUCUCUCCACGAACCGAGCUGCCUCCAGGCCUGUUCCCAGACCUCGGUGCCCGCCAGAUGCUCUGCGAAUUCCCUCCGCCCGCCCCAGCCUUCCCGCACCCUCCGCGCUCCCUGAACGUCCCAGGGAAGCUCUGUUCGCUUUUGUUUUUUUUUUUUUUCCCUUUUUCGCAACCCCUUCUUGGCUUCCUUUAUCCCUUGAAUUUUGUAUGUUUCCUGAAAGACACGUGGGAGGCCAGUGUCUCGUGUGGAAUCUGCCAGUCAGUGCAGCGCUUUCCCGGAGUUGAGUUUACUCUGCAGCUCUUUUGAAUGUUUGAGCCCUGUCUGCCUAUAGGUCUCGUCAAGACCAGCCCAUGUUUCUUAAAAACUGCAGUAUUAUGAAGAGUUCCUGUGCCUUGCCGCGUUUUCACCUUUUUAGAAUGCGACAUCUGUUCAUCUUUAAAAUAUCAUUUUAUCUCAUACUGUUAGUAGUAGCUUCUUAACUACUACCCAUUCUUAACUUUAAGAAGCAUAGAAUUUAGAAUAUAGAACGACCGCUUGUAUGGCCUGGAUCUGGGCACUUAACCUUACUAAGUUUAUCUCGUGUAAACUGACCUUGCUAACUCACGUGAGGCUUAAAUAAUACAAUGUGGAAGACUUCAGGGCACAUUUUUGGUUUUUUGGUUUUUGUUUGUUUCUUGAGACGGGGUCUCACUCUGUCGCCCAGGCUGGAGUCCAGUUGCACAAUCUCGGCUCACUGCAGCCUCCUCAUCCUGGGUUCAAGCAGUUCUGCCUUAGCCUCCGGAGCAGCUGGAAUUAGGUCGCCCACCACCACGCCCGGCUAAUUUUUGUAUUUUUAGUAGAGACGGGGUUUCACCAUGUUGGCCAGGCUGGUCUCGAAGUCCUGACCUCAGGUGAUCCACCCGCCUCGGCCCCCCAAAAUGCUGGGAUUACAGGCGUGAGCCACUGCGCCCUGCCAAGGACACAUUUUUGUAUCAAAUGGUUAAUGAUAAAAUUAGACUUAAAAUAACGUGAAACCUUCAAAUAUCAAGGGGAGAAAAACAGGAAAUGGGUAUCUUUGUUUAAAAAGCAAGAUGCUAUAAACAGCAUAUGGUAACAUACUGUUUUUAUUAAACAAAUUUAAAAUAUUAGAUAAUGGUAGAUAGGUUAUAUGAUAACCUUAUAAACGUCAUUUCAGUCGGAAAUAAACUUAUUAAACAU